ACGGAAGGCAGCAGUAGGGAAUAUUGCACAAUGGGGGAAACCCUGAUGCAGCGACGCCGCGUGAGUGAUGAAGUAUUUCGGUACGUAAAGCUCUAUCAGCAGGGAAGAUAAUGACGGUACCUGACUAAGAAGCCCCGGCUAACUACGUGCCAGCAGCCGCGGUAAUACGUAGGGGGCAAGCGUUAUCCGGAUUUACUGGGUGUAAAGGGCGUGUAGGCGGAGCUGCAAGUCAGAUGUGAAAUCCCGGGGCUCAACCCCGGAACUGCAUUUGAAACUGUAGCCCUUGAGUAUCGGAGAGGCAAGCGGAAUUCCUAGUGUAGCGGUGAAAUGCGUAGAUAUUAGGAGGAACACCAGUGGCGAAGGCGGCUUGCUGGACGACAACUGACGCUGAGGCGCGAAAGCGUGGGGAGCAAACAGGAUUAGAUACCCUGGUA
rnacentral:rRNA from 1 species